UACAGAGGGGGCAAGCGUUGUUCGGAAUUACUGGGCGUAAAGGGCUCGUAGGGGGCCAACUAAGUCAGACGUGAAAUCCCUAGGCUCAACCUAGGAACUGCGUCUGAUACUGGAUGGCUUGAAUCCGGGAGAGGGAUGCAGAAUUCCAGGUGUAGCGGUGAAAUGCGUAGAUAUCUGGAGGAAUACCGGUGGCGAAGGCGGCAUCCUGGACCGGCAUUGACGCUGAGGAGCGAAAGCCAGGGGAGCAAACGGG
rnacentral:rRNA from 1 species